rnacentral:rRNA from 1 species
UACGUAGGGGGCAAGCGUUGUCCGGAAUCAUUGGGCGUAAAGAGCGUGUAGGCGGUCCGGUCAGUCGGUUGUGAAAGUCAAGGGCUCAACCCUUGAAUGCCGGCCGAUACUGCCGGGCUAGAGUCCGGAAGAGGUGAGUGGAAUUCCUGGUGUAGCGGUGAAAUGCGCAGAUAUCAGGAGGAACACCGGUGGCGAAGGCGGGUCUCUGGGCCACUACUGACGCUGAGGAGCGAAAGCGUGGGGAGCAAACAGG